UCAAAGGUUAGUAGGAUACAGCAAGGAUAAUUUCAUCACUCUCGCUUAGCCUGACAAUUAUUGCGGGUCAUGGAUUCUUGUGCAAAUGUACAGGAGGAAAGCUUGGUGUCAACUUAAAUGAGCAAACGAUGACAUCUGUGAGAGCAUGAUUUUUAAUUCACCAUUAUGUCUUUAUCCACAACUUCAGGGUCUAACGGAUUCCCAUAUUUGUGGUCUGGAGGCUGUUUUCUCCAGGAUAAAUUGGCAUCUGACCAGGGAGUUAUGGGGUGAGUCCCCAUAUGGAAGUGGGAAGAGCCACUCUAAGCAGCUAGAAAACCCACCUGCUGGCACUGCUGCUGCUGCUGCCUGUUUUCAAAGAUGGGAUUCCGAGAGUGACAGGAUAUUACGACAACCUGUCCUCACAGGGACAUUGUCCAAGGAAAGAAGACAGCAUUGGCUGCCCCUACAUCCUCCUUGGGCACUAGGAAGUAUUUAUUCAUAAGUAUUUAUGCAUUCAUGCAAUUGCAGCAGAGGACAUUCUGAUCCAUACAUUAGACUGAAGGCUUUGAUCAGGUUGGUUUGCUUCAAAAUGCAGACUGGCAAAAUUUCUCAAGUUCCCCAGCUCUGCAGCUACUUCACUCUGAUGGGCUUCCUAUGCAAAGUAGUAAAGAGUGGUCAUAUCUGUGCACAUGUGAACACAUAUGUAUCUGUAGAAGAAUGUGGUUCUGGUGUAGCCCUGCAUAGGUUCUGGCUACCUCAUUACGUCGCUUGCAGACGGAUGCAAUAUAUCAGGCAUCCCCAAACUACGGCCCUCCAGAUGUUUUGGCCUACAACUCCCAUGAUCCCUAGCUAACAGGACCAGUGG